rnacentral:tRNA from 1 species
CGGCCCGUGGCAGAGUGGUUAUGCAUCAGACUUUUAAUCUGAGCGACGUUUGGGUUCGAAUCCCACCGGGUCGACCA